AUUCCUUUAGUAUUAAUAAGUACUGCUGACUUCCAAUCAGCCAGUCCCAGUAAGACCCCGGGAAGGAAUA
rnacentral:tRNA from 1 species